ensembl:lncRNA
CCACUCCAGUGUUUCUGUUCAUUUUAGAGAGCUCCCACAUUUAAUUUCCAAGAUUAAAAGGAAAUAAGAAAUCUGGAGCUCUAGAAAUCAUUUCUGUUUCCUUUCAGAGCAAUUCUGCAUGUUUGACAUCUUCUCUAUUGUUUAUGUCAGGCAAACAGAGGCUGGAUAACACAGAGUGGGCUGCAGCGGUAAGACAGUGAGUGAAUACCUAUGAGCCUCUGUGAUUCAUCGUUCCAAGGAGCUCUUGCUUUAAUUACAGAGGGCUGCCAGAUGAGGAAAACCAUGAGGAUUUAUGACUUUGGGGUAGAGUGAAAGCUGUCCUAGGCAUUUCAACCCAAAACUACAAAUCAAGACUUUUAUUAGAAAGUGACAAUGAAGGGUUGAGCAGCCAAACAUUCUCCAGGAGAAAACUGCCACAUGAAAGAGCAACCCUGCUUAACCCAUGGAAAAAUCAAUCUGAAAUUAAAGCUUUUCAAUGGCUGAAGGAUCCACCUGUAGGAUUUCCUCUAGCUAAGGUCACUCCACCCACCACAUGUGCAAGAUCAAGUGUUAUUUCUGAGGAUGUGAUUUUUUUCCAUCAUUGAUGGGAGAGAUGAGAACUAUCUUCAAGUCAUUACUGUGUCAAUACUCAGUUAUCAAGGAAAAACAUUAAAGGUAUUUUGACACAUAUGGAAUAGAACAGUAUCAAACAACUUCUUCAAAAUGAAGAGAAAGUAAAAAUAACAAGUCAGCAACACAUUUGAAAUUCCUAUAAUAAUGUGAAACACUAUUCUACCAUUUCUCUGGAAGAGGAUUUUCUGUGAAGUUGCCUCUAUAUGUGCAAGGCAACUGUUUACCUGACUAGCUCCUAAACUCUCUACAUUUCAAGCCAAAAGAUCAGAGAAAAUGGACAAGUUUGAGAAUGUCACCUCAGCUGGGAUUUUUGAUCACAGAAGGUUCUUAGUGACAACAGUGGUUCAUGGGAUAAGAUGAUGGAGUGUUUGAAAGAUAUUAGUGGUGACUUGAGGAGAGUUUUGCAAAGACACAACAAAUGCUGAUAUUGUUGUGAGCUGUGAUGCUCCAAACCAUCUAUCUGCUGAGCACUUCUGGUCUGGAGAAAAUUUGAAUUAUGACUGUUUUCCUGCUGUCCAGGCUUGGAAAACAACAGAAUCCAAGAUCUGCCAUUAGAGUAUUCUUAAUGUUUUAAAGACAUGGGAGCCAACAAAUGUUUAAUUUUUUUU